GCUGGCGUAGCUCAGUUUGGUAGAGCAACUGAUUUGUAAUCAGUCGGUCGUAGGUUCAAAUCCUAUCGCCAGCU
rnacentral:tRNA from 2 species